GCGUGAGUGAUGAAGGCCCUAGGGUUGUAAAGCUCUUUUACCCGGGAUGAUAAUGACAGUACCGGGAGAAUAAGCCCCGGCUAACUCCGUGCCAGCAGCCGCGGUAAUACGGAGGGGGCUAGCGUUGUUCGGAAUCACUGGGCGUAAAGCGCGCGUAGGCGGUCUUGUAAGUUAGAGGUGAAAGCCCGGAGCUCAACUCCGGAACUGCCUUUAAGACUGCAAGACUAGAAUCCGGGAGAGGUGAGCGGAAUUCCGAGUGUAGAGGUGAAAUUCGU
rnacentral:rRNA from 1 species